ensembl:lncRNA
UGGGACCACCCUCAUCCCCCACCCUCCAUCUCAGCCCUUUCCCUAAGCUUUCUUAGAAUCAGGGAUGGCACAUAAGAAAGGUCCAGAGUAGCUGGUCCAGACCCAAAAUCCCAUUGCAAGGCCCGGAAAACUGAGGCCCAGAGAGAAGAGCAACUUACCCAAGGUCCCAUAGGAAGCCAACUGCAGAACCUGGGCUAGAACCCGGGCCUCCAGCCUCAGCCCAGUGGCCACUCCUUUAGACUCCACUCUCCAGGGACCUCUCCAAAUCCUCCCUGCCUUCAAGUUAUGCUGAGUCCAUCCGCAUCUCCAGGCCCAGGGCUCCUCCAGAGCACAAUCCUGUAUCCCUCUGUCCCUGUGUUCCCUCCUCUACCCGUGACGACACGGCCACACCAAGGCAGGCACCCAGGGCCAUGGCCACUUCUGGCAGGACUGAGUGGAUGUGGGUUGACAACGAGUCAGAGCUGAAGCACAGGCAGGCCCUAGGGGUCUGCAUUAAUGGCCAGAUAAGACCCAUCUCUGGAUACUCCUCCCAAAGACUGGGCCCCCAGAUUCCCUCUUCCGGGUUAAUCACUCCUGCUGUAUACCUGUUAAUUAUUCUCCUGCCCGGUGACCCCUCACUUCCUAGAAGAGCAGAGGUCAGCCUGGCCCUGGCUGCCUCAGAAUGUCUGCCAAUUCCCAGGCAGGGCUUUCACCAAGCUGACGGGCGAGUACGCUCAGAACAAAUCCCUCAAUCAAAUUAACGAGAGGCUGACCUGCCUGUGAACAGAGCAGAGGGAGCCUUGGGGAAUGGGGGCGGGAGGAUGGGGGGCGUGGGGAAGGGCCAGAGAAUAAGGCUGCACAUGACACAGAACCAGGCAAGCCCUCACCCCAGCAUCUCCUCUCAGCUGCCACCAUGCCUGAAAUGUCACCAUUAAAGGAAAACAUCGUUCCUUUGGGGUUCAGAGGCAUUAAUGUCUCCUAUUAAAGUGAAAAUAUCCUGGAGAGAAAUCACACCCUCAGUCAUUACCCACCUCCAUGCGUCAGCCGAGGAAGUGGGUGAAGGGAGGGGGAAGCACUGAGUACCUACUAUGUGCCAGAUAUUGGAGGUGACACCAAGGCUCCAGGGCCAAGUGCUGGCCAGAGGUCUCUCAGCCUGUGGGUGGCAGAGCUCGGAUUUGAACUCAGAGCCAAGCUCUCUCCUUCCAUAUGAUCUUGACAGGGACUGUGGCUGCCUCCCUGAGCCUCCCUCUGGCAGGAUGAGCUUCCGGCUACCAGCAUCAGCCCUGCAGGGCUUUGGGGCAGAGCUUCACUAGGACUCUGGGGGUGUAAAAGUCAGCACUCAAAUCUUAGGACAGGCCUUCUGAGCUCGCUGAAUGAGGCAGUACAUUCCACACUACCCCAGCCCCUGGAUAUGCCAUCCCCAGGCCACCAGUUUACCACUGAGGAAAAGAACUGUCCUUGCAAUCAGACGACCCAAAUUCUAAUCAUGUCCUUUAACCUCUCUGGGCCUCAGUCUCCCCACGUAUAAAAUGGAGAGAAUGACACCCUCCUUGCAACAUCACUGUAGGGAUUCCCUGCAAGAAGAUUUGGAAGAAACCCAGCCCCUAGGGUAGCCCCCUCUGUCACUGCGUGUAGCCACCCAUCUUGACUUCUGCAGAGCCCAGCCCUCCCGGAAGUCCUGGAACCCUCAGAUGGCUGCCACCAGAGGAGGGCUCAGGCUCCAGUGAGCAGAACCAGGAGGACACAGGAAGAAGCAAUGGGUUGAGAAAGGCCGGGUCCCUGCCCUGUCUUUCCAGCCCAACCCCAGUGCAAUUCCCCCUGGUAGUCCUGGGGGGAGGUCUGGGCCCAGCAUCACCUGCCUGGCUCACUGCAGGGCUCCCCUGAGGCCCUUGACUUUCCUGACCACAGGAAGCACCGGCCAGGAAACAAGCACAACGCCAUCCCCUGGGCGGGGCCCCUGUGAACAUCCCUCCACAGCCCAGUCUCUGAGCAGGUCCUGUUGAAGCUCUUCCUCUCACUCAGUCUUCCCACACCCUGGCCUUGUGUCCCAGAGGAGGAAACAGGCUCAUCAGGGACUGCCCUCUCUGGUGUCCCGCCUUGGGAAUGGCUCUUCUUUGUUUCCUCCCAUAGCUGCUUGUAGGCCUCCCCAUUGCUGCCCUCCAGUGAGGUUGCUCUGGUGCCUCUGGGGUCCACCUACACAACUACCCUCAACCCGCCCCACCCCCAGGCCCUCAACCAGCACCAAGGAAUCCUCUGAAAAAAGAUGCAGGACCCCAGCCACUUAUUGGCCACUGAGUUAGUCAGUCACCUCCUCUCAGCCAAUGAGCUGAGGGCUGUCUAGGGGCAGUCAGAUGGGUGGAAACACAGAGACGUGAUCAACUUAGGGGGUGGUAAGGGGAGUAAGGAGGGUACGGGAACAAGCAUUUAUUGAGCACCAGCCAUGGGGCAGGCUUGCUCUCUUUCAUUUAACCCUCCCAACAGCUCCUUAUAGUACGUCCGCCUUAUAGAUGGAGAAAAUGAGCCUCUCUAAGGUCAAGGCACAUACAUGGUUUAACUUGAAUUUGAACCUGGAUCUGCCUGGUGCUCCAUUGCUCCCCCUGCCCCCACCCCAGCACUGAGGAGGCAUCAUCAGGUAAACUAACUGCCCUGGUGACAGCGCUGAUGCUCCCAGAUCUCCCUUAGGGCAAGGCUGCCAGUGACCCCUUCCUCCCUGCCCUCAAGGUCCACAGCAGGCCUGGCUGACCCCAGGCGGGGAGGACGCCUGCUGCCUUCCCGUGGGGCUGACUCCCUCUCCCCUUUCUCCCCACUCUCACUAGCAAAUGAGUAAGAAGAAUAGAAUUACAGUUUGGCUACACAAGACACAGAAUUAGCAGGAUUAAAUAUAAAUAGCUAUUAAAAGUGCCUUAUAAUUAAAUUCAUUUUCCAGUUAUUUGUUUUACACACACCCGCCUACACUCAUGCACACACGCACGCGCUCCAGGCCGAAGCUCCUCGCAGAGUGGGUGUCAGGGCCCCCGCUGCUAACCAGCCUCCUCCACGCUGUCGCCUCUUCUUUGGAGUUCCGGUGCAGGGCCUGCCUCUCUCCCGCCUGCCUUUCCCCUUCCUCUGCACCAACCCCCGCCCCCCUCCUUCCUGGCCCUACUUCCGGUCCAUCCACUCAGCCCCUUCCAGAAGAACAAAAACUACCUCUACUGCUGUUCCCAUGGGCUGAGCGUACUGUGAGCCAGACACCUGACACCGUCACCUCCUCUGUUCUACCCAAGACAUAUUUUUCAUUCAACAGAUAACUCUUGAAUUGCCAAGUACUUGACAUGCAUGGUCUCAUCUAAUCGACAUGAUGACACUCAUUCCUUCAUUAAACAAGUAUUAGGUGAACACCUACUCUAUGCCAAGGUCUGGUAAGUAUGAGCGCCACUUCAGCCAACAAGACUGAAGCCUCUGUUCCUGUGGAGCCCACCCUGAAGGAAGCCCAGAGCCAGGGACAGGAAAGAGGCAGAUGCCACCUGAGUCAGGCCAGGAGGAGGUCAGGGGGGACAGGGACACAUGGGAGGGGCAUGUUGGAGAGAUUCUUUCCACUGUGAGCUCCUUGAGAGCCCAAGCCUGUCCCAUCACCUCCCUGUGGGAAAGAGGGGGGACACAGAGUGGGCACAUCAUUCAUGCUUGUCAGCCUAAACUGACCCAGCCACGUGUAAGCCUAUCUCUGCCACUUCUCAUGCGAUGACUUUUAGAGGCCACUUCUCCCUCUUGGGACUCAACUUCCUUCCCCAUAAAAUGGCAGUAAACCUCACCCUAUCUGCAUAAAGUACAGAGGUGAAUCCAUGUAGAGAGCUUUGAACUGUGCCUGCAACAUAGUGAGUGCUCAUUGAGGGUGAGUUGGUUUAUGAUUGUGGUUAUUACUAUGAUUACUGCUUUUACUGUCAUCCAUCUCACCUGUGGAGUUGAUCAAUCAUGGAUAUGCGAGAACUCAGAAAACAAGCCUCGAAGAGAUGGGAAGGAUCAUGAGACCUGUAAUAGUCAGGGUGGGAGGAAGCCCUGGGAGCAGCACAUGAAAGUCUAUGGGAAGGAGAUCGCAUAGGGAAGGAAUCCCUCUGGCUGAUCCCAGGAGGGCUUCCUGGAGGAGGGAGCAGAGUACUUUGGGCUUCUCCAUCCCAGCCCCCUCCCCUCUACUCACUUGGCCUGAUCUUUGGUCCCUUCCCAUGGGGCCACGGAAAGACCUCGGCCCCAGAGCUGGAGUAUAAGGGAGGGGGGCACUUCAAAACUUUCAGCCUUUGAAUCUGGCCAUUCAACAAGCCCCACGGCCACCUGAGCCCCAGGAAAGGCACAAGAAGAACAUCCUAUCCUUGUAAGGGGUCAGAUGGCUGAGAAGCAGGACAUAUGUGUCCAAGAUGAACAAGGUCUGAGACAACAGCGGAGUAAGGGCAUAACCCCAAGCGGUGAACCGUGAGGUCACUAACGUUCUCUAAGUCCCUGCUGUGCCUCAAGCACUCUGCUCCUUUACCUCCUUCAGGCCAAACAGCCACCCUCUCACACAGCCACAUGACCUUGGCCCUGUGCUUCAGAUGAAGUGACUCAAAACCCAAAGAGGCCAGCAGCGACUCGCCCUAGGUCACAAGUCCUGCAGGUGGUAGAGCUGGGAUGGA